rnacentral:tRNA from 1 species
GCCCUGGUGGCGAAAAGGCUAAGCACUUUUUGGGCUGCUAACCCAAAGGUCGGUGGUUCGAAUCCACCCAGCGGCU